UACGUAGGGGGCUAGCGUUGUCCGGAAUCAUUGGGCGUAAAGAGCGUGUAGGCGGUCCGGUAAGUCCGUUGUGAAAGUCAGGGGCUCAACCCUUGAAUGCCGGCGGAUACUGUCGGGCUAGAGUCCGGAAGAGGCGAGUGGAAUUCCCGGUGUAGCGGUGAAAUGCGCAGAUAUCGGGAGGAACACCUAUGGCGAAGGCAGCUCGCUGGGACGGUACUGACGCUGAGACGCGAAAGCGUGGGGAGCAAACCGG
rnacentral:rRNA from 1 species